UACGUAGGCAGCGAGCGUUGUUCGGAAUUACUGGGCGUAAAGAGUGUGUAGGCGGUGCUCUAAGUUCGGUGUGAAAUCUCCUGGCUUAACUGGGAGGGUGCGCCGGAAACUGGGGUGCUCGAGCGUGGGAGAGGAAAGCGGAAUUCCUGGUGUAGCGGUGAAAUGCGUAGAUAUCAGGAGGAACACCUGUGGUGUAGACAGCUUUCUGGACCAUUGUUGACGCUGAGACACGAAAGCGUGGGUAGCAAACAGG
rnacentral:rRNA from 1 species